rnacentral:rRNA from 1 species
CCACGGAAGUUUUCAGAGAUGAGAAUGUGCCUUCGGGAACCGUGAGACAGGUGCUGCAUGGCUGUCGUCAGCUCGUGUUGUGAAAUGUUGGGUUAAGUCCCGCAACGAGCGCAACCCUUAUCCUUUGUUGCCAGCGGUCCGGCCGGGAACUCAAAGGAGACUGCCAGUGAUAAACUGGAGGAAGGUGGGGAUGACGUCAAGUCAUCAUGGCCCUUACGACCAGGGCUACACACGUGCUACAAUGGCGCAUACAAAGAGAAGCGACCUCGCGAGAGCAAGCGGACCUCAUAAAGUGCGUCGUAGUCCGGAUUGGAGUCUGCAACUCGACUCCAUGAAGUCGGAAUCGCUAGUAAUCGUGGAUCAGAAUGCCACGGUGAAUACGUUCCCGGGCCUUGUACACACCGCCCGUCACACCAUGGGAGUGGGUUGCAAAAGAAGUAGGUAGCUUAACCUUCGGGAGGGCGCUUACCACUUUGUGAUUCAUGACUGGGGUGAAGUCGUAACAAGGUAACCGUAGGGGAACCUGCGGUUGGAUCACCUCCUUACCUUAAAGAAGC